rnacentral:rRNA from 1 species
CUACGGGAGGCAGCAGUAGGGAAUAUUGCGCAAUGGACGAAAGUCUGACGCAGCAACGCCGCGUGAGCGAUGAAGGUCUUCGGAUCGUAAAGCUCUGUCAGAGGGGACGAACCGUUUCGCGUCGAAUAGACGCGGAGCCUGACGGUACCCUCAGAGGAAGCACCGGCCAACUCCGUGCCAGCAGCCGCGGUAAUACGGAGGGUGCAAACGUUGUUCGGAUUUACUGGGCGUAAAGCGCGAGCAGGCGGGGCAGCAAGUCUUGUGUGUAAUCUUUCGGCUUAACCGGAAAACUGCACGGGAAACUACUGAUCUUGAGUGCGAGAGAGGAUGGCGGAAUUCCUGGUGUAGCGGUGAAAUGCGUAGAUAUCAGGAGGAACACCGGUGGCGAAGGCGGCCAUCUGGCUCGACACUGACGCUCAUUCGCGAAGGUCGGGGGAGCAAACAGGAUUAGAUACCCGGGUAGUC